GAUGAACGCUGGCGGCGUGCCUAAUACAUGCAAGUCGAGCGAACAGACGAGGAGCUUGCUCCUCUGACGUUAGCGGCGGACGGGUGAGUAACACGUGGAUAACCUACCUAUAAGACUGGGAUAACUUCGGGAAACCGGAGCUAAUACCGGAUAAUAUAUUGAACCGCAUUGUUCAAUAGUGAAAGACGGUUUUGCUGUCACUUAUAGAUGGAUCCGCGCCGCAUUAGCUAGUUGGUAAGGUAACGGCUUACCAAGGCAACGAUGCGUAGCCGACCUGAGAGGGUGAACGGCCACACUGGAACUGAGACACGGUCCAGACUCCGACGGGAGGCAGCAGUAGGGAAUCUUCCGCAAUGGGCGAAAGCCUGACGGAGCAACGCCGCGUGAGUGAUGAAGGUCUUCGGAUCGUAAAACUCUGUUAGUAGGGAAGAACAAAUGUGUAAGUAACUAUGCACGUCUUGACGGUACCUAAUCAGAAAGCCACGGCUAACUACGUG
rnacentral:rRNA from 1 species